rnacentral:rRNA from 1 species
UACGUAGGGUGCGAGCGUUAAUCGGAAUUACUGGGCGUAAAGCGUGCGCAGGCUGUUCUGUAAGUCAGAUGUGAAAUCCCCGAGCUCAACUUGGGAACUGCGUUUGAAACUACAGGACUAGAAUAUGUCGAGAGGGGGGUAGAAUUCCACGUGUAGCAGUGAAAUGCGUUAGAGAUGUGGAGGAAUACCAAUGGCGAAGGCAGCCCCCUGGGAUAAUAUUGACGCUCAUGCACGAAAGCGUGGGGAGCAAACAGG